AAGCCAUUGUCAUUCUAAUAAAGUUCAUUUCUUCUACCAACUUUGUCUAUUAAAUUACUUUUUAUCAAAGUCUUCCAUACUACUAACUUCCAACAAAAAGCCAACUAUUUUCAACCUCAAAAAUUAUCCCAUACAAAACAUAUUAAACCAUCUAAUCUCAUCACUACAAGAAAAAGCCAUCAAAAAGAAAGAUACGAACGAGCUCCUUGAGGUUGUUCUAGCUAGAAUCAGUCAGUAGCAUUCUGUCAUUAAGCUUCUGCUUGUGCAAAACAUCAUUAGAAUUUUAUUAUAGGUAAUGAAUGAUUCACCCAAUAAAUGUGAAUCUACCCUCUAUUUUAUCCACAAAAAUUCCUUUUCUUCGGUUCAUGUUCAAUCUUGAAUUAUAUAUCUGUAUGUAUACUUUAAUUUCAGUUCAUGGUCCAUCUUAAAUUGAAAAUGAGCUCUCUUAAUGCUUGGAUGAACAUUUUUUCCUAUCUAUGAUUUUUGGAUUUUGAUUCAUUUCAGGAUUGAUUAGCUCUAUGCUAAGAUUUGUGCAUCUAAACUUGACGAGCGCAAUCUUGGUUAGACAUUUCCACCUUGCUCAAUGAAUUAUAUGUAUGUCUUGUAUGGCUUGAAAGAUUUUUAAGUUUCUGUACCCCCAAAAAUUACAGAAAAUUGAUAAUUCUUGUGGAUCUGUCUUUACAUUUGCCUUCGAUAUAUUUAUAUUCUAUAUCUAUAUAUAUAUGCAUGAACUCCUUAUUGAUGUCUGUACUAUAAUUAAACAAUAUAUAGGACUUCUGUCCUCUUUUAUUUACAUCAAACAUACACAUUUUUAAUGAACUUUGUUCUAAUUCAUAUGAUUUUUUUUCUCUCUACUUUUCCCGCAGCUAGAAAUUUGUAGAAAUUUCCUUGAAGUACUGAAGAAAAUGCUUGAAUCAGAAGGAAAUGACAACAGAAAAAUUAAAUCAGACAAGGUGGGGCUUGCCACUGUAAGUUCUUUAGUUGAUGGAAUCGAAAUCACUACACUAGUAAUCCCAGGUUAGUCACUAGAAACCUUCUAGAUUCGUCAACCUAUUUUGUCAACGAAACCUUGAAUCCUUUGGUGACCAAUCCCAAUCCAUUUUGCAAAAAUUUUGCGGUUAUUCCAAAUCCUGUUACCUCACAAACAAGAUAUAGGCCAUGUUUGCUCACUUUCAAUGGUCCUGUAUCAGUUUUUAGCGCAAAACAAAGCCAGACCAGUUCAAAUGUUGGAGUUGGUUUAAAGAAUUAUAAUCAAGAUGCUAAUUUAAUUAUUGCAGUGUUCAUGGAAAUACAGGGUUUCAUAGGUUGGAAGAUACCCAUAAACCCGAUGAAUAUUCAUGUGCGCUACGACAUGCUCUAAUCUUUGAAGUUGUUAAUAUGUUCAUUAAUGACUGUAUUUCUGAGUUGCCUCCUAGUAGUCAAGUAAAAAACUUCAGCUUAAAUGGAGAAUUGGUUAGCUUGCCUGGUCAAAAUGUGAAUUCUUCAAGUUCUUCAACACAAUAUUUGGAGAGCGAUGAAUUUCUUGAAUAUUGUUAUGACUGCAACAAGGCACUGGAUGGAAAUGACAUUUAUAUGUACAGGGACGUCCCAUAAAUUAUACAAACAUGCCAUUCUGCAGCAAUGAAUGUCGAGAAAAAAAGUUUAUGAAUGCUUCUAUUUUGAAGAAAGCUGUAAUGAGUGUUUAGCAGCCAUACUAACUUACUACUAAAAUAUUUUUUGAUUGGGUAAAUAAAUAUAUAUUGAUCAAAAUUUGAGUACAUUCAAAAUAUUUAUAAUGCUUUGAUGUAAUUAUUAAUGACUGUUCUAAGAUUGUAGAAACCAUGAGUUACUCAAGAACUCCAUUUAGUUAUGUAAUUUCUUGUUUUUUGAACUUCAAUUUGAUAAAUCAAUAGAGAAAUUCCAAUUUUAAGUGAAAUUUUAAUAAUUUACAACAUAGACAGGACUAAAUUGGGGGGGGGGGGGGGGGGAUUUACAAGUGUUCUAAAAAUUUAAUAUUCAACCUCUACACCAUUCACCAUUUUUACUGUUCUUUAUCUUAUUUACUGAAUCCAUAAUUGCAAGGGCUCUAUAAACCCAUCCCCCGGCAUUACUUUUAGGUCAUCGGAGUUGUUGAUAAUCAGAGACGUCGUUUCAAAUUACACUCAAUAUCAUUAACAGUCAACAGUCACUUAUACAAUAUUCGAUGUUAGAAUUGAAGUACCAAAUUAAGUAAUUAUAGAGUUCGUUUUAUUAAUUAAUACUAAAACAGCUGACAUGUCUUUUCAAGCUUCAUUUAAAGCAAUCUAACUGUACACGGCUACAAUCGUUGUAGGCUUGUAGCUACGAUAGUUAGAAACUACUUUUAAGAAAGAAGACAAGACGUAUUUGACUUUUAAUUGAAUUAAGUCUAUUACGACUUUAUGACCGUUGUGGUAGUUAAAAGAUGGUUGACCAGAGGGAUUCGAAUAUUUAAUAUUUCGUAAUAGUAUCUAAAUACCAAAUCAAGUAAUUUAAAUGUCGGUUAAACUAGGAAAUACUAAAAGAAAUUUUAUGUCAAUUUUCAAGCUCCAUUAGAGAAACUUUUGCACAAGAAAGUACUUAGUUAUGGCCAUUAUAUACUUCAAAAUUAAGAGAUAAUGUGAUAGAUGUAUAGCUUUUUUAAUUAAGAAAUAUAUAUUAAAGCUAUUUCCAUUUGUUAUUCAAGGAGAGAUGACUUGUAAUCUGUUGUUGAACAAUAAUUAAUGGGUUUAGAGUCAUUAAUUUCAUUUCAAAAACCAGAUCAGCAAAAAAUUUGAACUUACAUGGGCCAGUACUCUAAACACUUUCACUAAUUCCUAGGUAAAAAAGAUAAACACAAACGGGUUCCAUGAGGUUAAGGAUACCUUGCUGAGUCAGCUGCUUCUAUUCUAGUUAGAAUUAGUCAGAUGUUUUUUGUCAUUAUGCAUUGUGUUGGUAGAAAACAUUAUUACAAUUUAUAUCUGUAUGCAUAUAUAUUAAUCUGUAAUUAACUAUUCACAAAAAAGGUGUAUCUACCCUUCUUUUCACCCACAAAAGAUUUCUUUUUUAUUUCGUGCUUGAAUUUAUAUCUGUGAACGUAUGUUUACCUUCCAUUUUUAUGUUUAUAUCUGCACAAUAAUUUCAGUUCAUGUUCAGUCUUGAAUUGAAAAUGAGCUUUCUUGAUGCAUGCAUGAGCCUUGUCUUUCAAGAAAAUUAAUCUAUUGUUUAUGACUUUUGACGCAUUUCAGGAUUUAGUAGAUCUGCGCUGGAUUCGUGAAUCUAAACUCCACGAGCAAUUUUGGUAUGAUUUAUGUCCACCUUGC
rnacentral:lncRNA from 1 species